GGGGAGAUGGCCGAGUGGUUAUGGCGCUGCGUUCAGGUUGACCUGGAUCUACUAGUUUCUAGUCUCGCAGUGGAGCAAUCCGCGUGGGUUCGAGUCCCACUCUCCUCA